CUCCUUUUUAUUUUCCUCUUCAUUCAUACCACGCUUUCAAUGAGCUUUAGCCUCCGGAAUUUUGUGUAUUUUGGUAUGUUAUACUCAAAUUGAUACUAAUGCAAUGGUCAGUGUAUCAAUAAUUGUAUACACACACACACAAACACACAGCAGCUGAAAUAAGUAUUUAACACGUCAGCAUUUUUCUCACUAAAUAUACUUCCAAAGGUGCUAUUGACCUGAAAAUUUCACCAGUUGGGAACAACCCAAGUAAUCCAUACAUACAAAAAAAGUAGAACAAAUAAGUUUGUUGUGUGUAAUAAUGUGAAAUGACACAGAGCAAAAGUAUUGAACACGCCAACUGGUAUUUAUUUACUACUUCGUACAAAAGUCUUUGUUUGCAAUGACAGCUUCAAGAAGCCUCCUGUAUGGAGAAACUAGUUGCAUGCAUUGCUCUGGUAUGAUUUUGGCCCAUUCUUCCACACAAGCAGUCUUCAAAUCUUGAAGGUUCCGUGGGCUUCUUUUAUGGACCUUGAGUUUCAGUUCUUUCCAUAGAUUUUCAAUAGGAUUCAAGUCAAGUGAUUGGCUGGGCCAUUCUGGUGGCUUUAUUUUUUUUCUUUGAAACCAAUUGAGAAUUUCCUUGGCAGUAUGUUUUGGAUCAUUAUCCUUAUGAAAUGUCUACCCUCGUUUCAUUUUUCCUUCAAAGUUUUGUCAAGAAUGUCUCAGUACAUUUGCCCAUUCAUCGUUCCUUCAAUAAUGUGAAGUUUCCCAGUACCAUUUUCUGAAAAGCAACCCCAUACCAUCAUGUUCCCACCUCCGAACUUCACUGUUGGUAUGGUGUUUUUAGGUUGAUGUGCAGUGUAAUUUAUCCUCCAAACGUGGUGUGCAUUAUGGCAUCCAAACAGUUAAAUUUUGCUGUCAUCCGACCAGACUAUAUUCUCCCAGUAUGUAACUGGCUUGUCCAAAUGUUCUUCAGCAAACUUUAGAUGAGCUUUGACAUGCUUUUUUAUCCUCAAUGGGGUCUUGCGUGGUGAGUGUGCAUACAGGCCAAGCUAUCACUUACGCGGAGGAACAUGGGAAUCGAGCAGCCGCGAGAGAAUUCAAGAUCAACGAAUCCAUGAUUGGAGGAAGCAGGAAAACGCCGGCAUCAUUGCUGAACAGCCCCCCGGCAACGAGACUGACUCCGACAAUGACGAGUGGGAACCCGGCAUGUUUGAUGGAGAACUUGCCCAGCUGUUCAUUUCGGAUACAGAAGAUGAGGACUUUGAUGGAUUUCUGGAUGAGGAUUGCUAAAAAAAAAUAACGCCACCGUAGAAACCAGCUGUGGUUACAAUAAUUUUUCCUUCGAGAAUUACGUCUUCAACCAUGACACUCCGCCGCCAUGGUACUGGAAAAAGUGGCACGUACAGGACAGAGUACAAAGAAAAGCAGUCUGCAUCAUGGAGGACUUGUCACACCCAUUUCAGCGAUGUUCUGUUAUUGGACUUCUGUGCUCAUCACGGAUUGUCCAUAACGAACACCAUGUUCAAGCAUAAGGAUGUCCACACG